AUGUUUCCAUCAUUCUAAAGAGCAUAAAUUACAGAACAGUCAGUAUUGCAUUCGUGUUUACCAUUAUCGGAAUGUGGCUUGUCGUAUUCCACGAUGUUGAGAUCACCUUCGCCGUAAAGAACUUUGCAGUAUUGGUCAACGAGAUCAUUUAAUUGGAGCUAUCCAACCCAAGGAGUCACACUAUGUGAAGGCUUGACGCAUUUGAAUGCUUGAAGUCGAGUAAAGAUGCCUUGAAUUGUGUUGAGAAUCCUACAAAUAAUUAAAUUGUGUGUUGGUUUUAAUUUGACUCACCUGUUUCCCUGUUUAAUAAUUAAUAUGAUAAAAGAAAUUGUUGUAUUCUACUGAGCUUUUAAAUUUUAAGACAAUUUAAUGCGA